rnacentral:lncRNA from 1 species
GACAAUCGAUGCAAAAUAGGGAUGAUGUCCACAUCUCGAUCCAAGAAAAAUUACUAAGCAAUCGGAUAAUGAAAAGAAAUAAUAAUGAAAAACACAAGUGAAUAGUUACAAACUAGAUCACUUGGAGUGCGAGGUCCCUUUACCCUCUCUUCGUGGUGCACUUGUGUAUCUGAAUGUCUUAAUUUGCUUAGCUGCCUCUUUCUUCUUUCCAUCCUGUGACAGAAAUCGAUCAUAGUUGAAAAGAUCGAUAGAUGGAUGCCCAACAGCCACCCAUUCUUUAGUAAGAACGAUAGAGGCUGCCAUCAUUUUUCCCAUAUGUGUUCAUGUCCUUAAUAUGCUCUAAAGAAUCCUUGAAUCACUCUAAGGCAUCAAUUCAAGCACGGGCUAGCGAAGAGCGCAAUUAUCAAUCUCCUUUUUCCUCUUCACUGACUCGAGACUUCUGCUCAUUGAUCCAUGACUCCAUCUCCUUAUAACGAGCUUCCAUAGCAUCGAGAGACUUCUUCAAGGUUGAAUUUUUUUCCUUGAAGUUGCUCGCUUCCUUGAUCUUGUCGUCCUCGAGAGCCUUCAACUCAAACGUGACUUACUCUGACAGGUAAAGCUUGCAUGAUCAAGAAAAGUAAAUGAAGAUAUGCACGGUAAGAAAAUAAAAGCCUACCUAUAAGUUGACUGGUUCUCAAUAUCAACAUCUUCCUCAUUGUCAAAACUUGAGAUAGGAGAGAUGCAAGAAGUGGUAGGGGUCAACUGUUGUAUUUGAGAGUUCAAGAGUCCCAGGCUCACGUGACUAUUGAAAAGGUACAUUUGGGAAACUCUCCAAUAAGUAGUGAAAGGAAAUUCGCCUUCGGAAAGUAGAACGAAGAAUAAUCGAGACUUCCAUCCACUAUUAGAAUUUCUAUACUUAGGAAUACUAAGAGAAACCCUAAUG